GAUGAAGAAUGUAGCGAAAUGCGAUAAGUAAUGUGAAUUGCAGAAUUCAGUGAAUCAUCGAAUCUUUGAACGCAUCUUGCGCUCCUUGGUAUUCUGAGGAGCAUGCCUGUUUGAGUGUCAUUAAAUUCUCAACUACACUGACUUUGAAUUGGUGUGGCUUGGAUUUGGGGGGAAAAUUGUUGUGGGCUUUUUGUAUAGUCUGCUCCCCUGAAAUUGAUUAGCGGUACCUUUGUGGAACUGUCUACAGGUGUGAUAAUUAUCUACAUCUUAGACAUCUGCUGGAAUGCUGCUUUCUAAACCUUACUUGUAUUGACAAUCUUGACCUCAAAUCAGGUAGGACUACCCGCUGAACUUAAGCAUAUCAAUAAGCGGAGGA
rnacentral:misc_RNA from 1 species